rnacentral:misc_RNA from 1 species
CGAUUCCCGUCAUCUGCUUAAUUGGGGUCGUGGUUAGAUGUUUCAUUUAACCACGGCUUUUUUGUUGCACAAGACCGGCAAGCGAAUGGAUGCUUGCAUACAAAUUCAUUUGCCGGUCGUAAGAACAUGGAGCACUAAGUGCGGAAUGUUCGUGUGCGAAAUCG